CUGCAACUGUCUAUUCAUACUGCCGUCUAGUGUUUCAUUUUGAAAACAGUUCUCCAUUCUGUCGUAUCUGAAAAUCCAUAAGAACUGAGUGUCAUGUGCAUAUCUAUACAUAUCCGUGCCUUAAAUUCAUAAGGAGCAUCUUGGGGAUGACGUAGGUUGCGCGUGUCACUAAUCUAAAUUUCAUGGCCAAUACUACGGAACGAUUUGCAACUUGGUGGAUGCGUGCCAAAAAUUAUGCGACUGAUAUCCAUCGUCAUUCUCUUCUAAUGAAGUGCUUCAAGAGAAAUUUUGCUGAAGGGAGUUGCUACUAUUCUUCAUUUGUAAGAGAUUUAUUUACAUUAGUUAGUUAGAUAUUCUUCAAAUUUCAACAAUUUUUCUGCAAGCUUUGUUGUUAAGAUUUUCUUAAAAGUUUCAUGUGCAAUGUUGUCGCAUCAUGUUUUUAUUGCGGGGGAAGAACUGCGCCAGGUGCUAUUUGUCAAAGUCGCGUGAAAAUUUGAGGCAUUAGUGGUCCGGUACGUAAUCUACCAGGAAGGCCAGUUAUAGCUUCGCGUGCCAUCAGGAACGGAAAUCUGAAUUAACGACUCGAUUGCGAAAUCGCGCGCCUAUCCGUACGCGUAUCGGGAUCAAAGAUUUCUCGCCAUGAUUGCUUUACCAUUGCUUUACUUUUGUUACAUAAUAAACCUGAUAUGUGCGAAUUCUGAGAGAAGUCAUACAGCAUACCUUAAUAGUCAAAAGUAUAUAUACAUAAUAAAUUACUAUAUAUUAAUUUUAUUAAUUUAUUACUAUAUUAAACUGUUAAUUUAUUAUAUCAGAAAGAGAAGGAAAUUCUCCGCAAUAUUGUAUUUAAAAAAUAUAUAUAUCGUAUUUGAAAAACCUGUUCCGAGUAUCGUGAUUCGAGCAGGAAGUUGAUGAUUAAAAGAAUUCUUGCAUUAUCUUUCGUAUCGCAGCGUAUUUCAUGUUAUCUUUUUUAGCGUUACACAGAAUCUCGCUACCAAACAUACGAGAGACGAGCAGUCUAUGUUCGCUUCGCAUUACAUCACAUUUAUUAUUACAAUUAACUCAUAACACAAUGCGUCAUUGCAUCAUUUUCACGGAAUUUUUAUUGAAUCUCUCUCUCUCUCUCUCUCUCUCUCUCUCUCUCUCUACGUCUCUCUACGAAUCUCUCAUAAUGGAAUUGCACUCCAUUAGUGUAACAAACGCAAUUCCAAGUAAAACGCGAGCAUGAAUUAUGAUAUUUAGCAUUACUCCAUAUUGACAAGUUUUUUUUGUUUUAAGACACCAAUGUAAUAGAAAUGUGUGAAACAUUUCAGGUAAAACGGAAAAUUUUCGCGAAGAGGAAGGAAUUUGCUUCCAUAAAAAUGGUCUCUCAUCAAACGUGCUUAUCCGUUGCAACUACAAUUUGCAAAAACGCGAGAAUUUUACUUCGUAUAUACGUGUAAUUUUACUUUACAUAUUUUAAUUUAUACAAAAUUUUAAUACACAAUUAAUGCACAUUUCUAUCUACAAAAAAUGCCUAUACCAGUCGCACAUCUAUCGAAGAUAUCGCACGUUGAUUUUAAUUAACAACACGAGAGCGAAGAAGGUAUGGGUUGCGUCCACGAGGAAGGGAGAGCAGAUGAGCGUUCGCAAGCCUCUUCUGGUUUAUAGGUGUUUUCUCGUUGUGCACGUGGCCGAGAUACUCCCGUAUUUUAUGCGUUUUCAAGGAGAUUCUAAAUAAAGCAAAUGGAAUUCGCAUUAGGUCAGUUCUACCCUGCGCAGCCUGCCAGAUGGUGACAUUGCUCCGUAUGAUGAUGAUAAGUACGCGCGUCUACAUGCUUCAAAAGUUUGCAAACAAUACACGUUAUAUAGAAGCGACCGACAUCCGCAAUACUGUUGCGAUUAAUCGCACAUAAAAUCGCGAAAAACAAAAUUUAAGUGAACCAGGAAUUGAAAUUCAUCUUGAUCAAACGAUUAACAUGAUGCAACAGUUAUCUAAUUCUUCGCAUUUAAUAUCAAGCUGAUCACGAUUUGAUAUAAUGAAACAAUACUCUUCAUUUGCUCUUGUGGAAGCGCUCCCCUCGAGACUAAUUAUCAGCCACGCCAGCGUGGAAUAUAUAAUUACUUUCAAACGGCGCCGCUACGUCUGAUAUUUCUCUCACUACAGCGCGUCUCUCGAGGUUGCAGCGCGCCAACUAACAUAUAUGCGCAAAGGAGAUAAUAACAUUUUUUAGCACUCAAUUAGGCGAAGCUCUGCAUCCCUGCGAGCUUUGCGAAUAUUGUAGCAAUGACGCAAUGAUACGCUUGCAUUAAAAAAACGCAUCUCCAAGCUGUUCCUUUAACUAGACAUACUCUGCGUUUAAAGAAACAAACAUUUAUUCGCACUGAUAAGUUCAAUUAAUGCCCGUGGCACGUCUCGGUAUUGCGUAAUUUUUAUUACAGUAAUAUAACGAUGUCCCUCCCAAUUUCAUCAUUAUUUUAUCAUCGCUUUACAUUUGUACGCUGCCUGUGUGAUAUCGGUGAUUCGACUUAAACGCACCAUUACGCUUUGUCGUAUCAUAAGCUUUACUUUCAAUAUCCAUUUAUUUGUUUGUGGUAAAUAUCGAUCGUUUACCUCGAGUACCAAGUCAAUGAUGCUUCAAGGAAUCAUCGUGUAGUACUUAAGAUAAGCGGUUUGGAGUAAAGCUUCAAAGCCAUUUACAAGUAACAUAAUACUCAUCGAAAUAUUAUCUGGAUUUCGAAAUGUGAUUUAGCAGAAGUUUACAUUGCACGUUGAAGUAUUAAACGUUCCAGUCUCGAAGUCACGAAGUGAGUCAUGUAAGUUGUUACAUUCCCAAGGAAAAUCCGUACUGGCGAAUACAAGGGUGACUCCGAUGAGGACACACGUGCUCGAGGCGCGGAGGACUUGUGUAGAAAAUCGAUCGACACACCUAUGAUUAAAUAACAAAGGGGAUAAUCUCUUCAAUGAGGCCAAGUAUCAUUUCGUCCCUUGCUUAUCUUUCUCUCUCUCCCUCUCUCUCCUUCGACCAUGGUGGGCGCUAUUGCGAUCGAUUCCACGAACUUCUUCCUAUAAUUGGUGUCUCUACGAAGACAGCGAGUAUGUAUCCGUACUUUUCGUGCUGUCUCAAAUCGAUAGUAGUUACCAUAUCAUUGGAUUACCAGUACAUUUUUUAAAAAGAGUUUUAUUUUAGUCUUUUUCCUCUAAACGGCCGCAACAGGUAACAAAUGGGCAUUUUGAAGAAGAAGGGAUCGCCAAUCGGCUCGACGGACAAUAAUGAGGUAAUCGAUUUUGAUCUAUUUCUCAUCAUGCAUAAAUCACCGUGUCCUUAAAAUAAAACUUCCAUUCUCGGCAGGAAAUUUGAUCGAGUCACGCGCGUUUUCACUGGUUCUUCGCAAAUAAUUAUUUCUCGCAUGUGCGCAACUGGCGAAUGCGAGCCUAGACAUCUCGGGAUUCAACAGCCACGAUCCAGUUAAAGCCAGUCGGAUCCAACCAGUCUGGCAGAUCACCUGAAACGUCAUGAGAUUCUAAAAAGUGCUCGUUAUCACUUGCCCGCACUUUGUACCAAGGAUAAAAAACCGAAUGCACCUAGGAUAAUCAACGAUUAUUACUAUAAGAUUGCGUAAGAAAAAAGAUCUGCAAUAUUUAGUCUUGAAGAAGCAGAAUUAGAUAACUCUUCAAUUCCUGCCUUUUCUUCUUAGAAGACAAUCCAACGCGCGAGGAAGAUAUGCCAGCAACCUAAUCUGUGCAAUUAUUAAUGCGGAAUGUUGCAAGGUAAGUUUCUGACUUUUCUUUUCUUGGACCAUGUUGUCUUUCGCCGUCUUUUGUUGAAGCUCUUUAAUGGAAAAGGGCGUGGUAGCUUCCGACGACAUACGUCAUAAGAAGUAUAUGGAAUGAGGCCAGACUGCUGCGAAGAAAAUGUUGUAACCGAUCAAUAGAGCAACACGUGGUUCAGACCCGCCGAUGUUUACCAUAGGGAUAAAAUACCUGAAGCCUAAUGAACUGAUUAAGACAAUUGCGAAGAAUAUUAUUUCUCAUUUUCUUCCUCUCGCUCCACAUACACACAUACGCGGUGAACACAUGACUUUACACAAGAACAGAUCUUAAUGAGAAAAUAAUAUUUCAAAGAUGACCAAAAAUCUGCUGCAAUGUAAAGGAGUUUGCCAAAAAAUAAUAUUUGUGGUGUACUCUUAGAGGUAUAUUUAGAUACUUACUGUGCAUAUUUAGAUAUUAACGCACAAAGUUGGUAAUGCAGCGUAAAUGCUGAUAUUAGCAAUUCCAUAAAUAGCGAAUGUGCUCUACCCAUUACCAUCUACUUUUACGUCGUAAACCCUUCCUCACAUCUGCAACAAGUGCCAGCUUGUAUUUAAAUGCUAAUUAUCGUAGCUAAAAAUAAUACUGCAUUUCCUUUUCAUUAU